rnacentral:tRNA from 1 species
GCCUUCGUGGUGUAGUGGUCAGCACGCUCGACGUGUAAUUGAGAGGUCCGUGGUUGGAAUCCCGGCGAGAGCA